rnacentral:rRNA from 1 species
GAUGAACGCUGGCGGCGUGCCUAAUACAUGCAAGUCGAACGAGGUGCUUUUGUAGCAAUACGAGAGUAUCCUAGUGGCGAACGGGUGAGUAACGCGUUGGUGACCUGCCCAAAAGUGUGGGAUAACAGUCCGAAAGGAUUGCUAAUACCUCAUGUGGCCAUCGGGUUUAGAAACCGAUGUCUAAAGCAGCAAUGCGCUUUGGGAGGGACCUGCGUCCCAUCAGCUAGUUGGUGAGGUAACGGCCCACCAAGGCUACGACGGGUAGGGGGCCUGAGAGGGUGGCCCCCAACAAUGGAACUGAAACACGGUCCAUACACCUACGGGUGGCAGCAGUAGGGAAUAUUGCACAAUGGGCGAAAGCCUGAUGCAGCAACGCCGCGUGAGUGAUGAAGGCCUUCGGGUCGUAAAGCUCUUUUCUGGGAGAUGAGAAAGGACAGUAUCCCAGGAAUAAGUCUCGGCUAACUACGUGCCAGCCGCCGCCGUAACAC